GGUCGAGUAGCUCAGUUGGUUCAGAGCACCCGGCUUACAUCCGGGAGGUCAGAGGUUCAAGUCCUCUCUCGACCA
rnacentral:tRNA from 1 species